GGGCACGUGGUGUAGUGGCCUAACAUGCAGCCCUGUCAAGGCUGAGAACGGGAGUUCGAAUCUCCUCGUGCCCGCCA
rnacentral:tRNA from 1 species